rnacentral:rRNA from 1 species
UACGAAGGGGGCUAGCGUUGCUCGGAAUGACUGGGCGUAAAGGGCGCGUAGGCGGAUGGCACAGUCAGAUGUGAAAUUCCCGGGCUUAACCUGGGGGCUGCAUUUGAUACGUGUUGUCUUGAGUUCGGAAGAGGGUCGUGGAAUUCCCAGUGUAGAGGUGAAAUUCGUAGAUAUUGGGAAGAACACCGGUGGCGAAGGCGGCGACCUGGUCCGACACUGACGCUGAGGCGCGAAAGCGUGGGGAG